rnacentral:rRNA from 1 species
GAGGUGUGUACAAUGCCCGGGAACGUAUUCUCCGCGGCGGCUGGGACAAUCAAUAUUGAAUUCUAUCCACAAUGUACACGAUGAAUGCUAGGUGUAGGAGGUAUCGACCCCUUCUGUGCCGAAGUCAACACAAUAAGCAUUCCGCCUGGGGAGUACGGCCGCAAGGUUGAAACUCAAAGGAAUUGACGGGGGCCCGCACAAGCAGCGGAGCAUGUGGAUUAAUUCGACGCAACGCGAAGAACCUUACCAGGUCUUGACAUCCAGUAAAGCCUGUAGAGAUACAGAGUCCCUUCGGGGGUACUGAGACAGGUGGUGCAUGGUUGUCGUCAGCUCGUGUCGUGAGAUGUUGGGUUAAGUCCCGCAACGAGCGCAAC